rnacentral:rRNA from 1 species
CAGUAGCCGCGGUAAUACGGAGGGUGCAAGCGUUAAUCGGAAUUACUGGGCGUAAAGCGCACGCAGGCGGUCUGUCAAGUCGGAUGUGAAAUCCCCGGGCUCAACCUGGGAACUGCAUCCGAAACUGGCAGGCUAGAGUCUUGUAGAGGGGGGUAGAAUUCCAGGUGUAGCGGUGAAAUGCGUAGAGAUCUGGAGGAAUACCGGUGGCGAAGGCGGCCCCCUGGACAAAGACUGACGCUCAGGUGCGAAAGCGUGGGGAGCAAACAGGAUUAGAUACCCCAGUAGUCCCUGUCUCUUAUAC